UGGAGAGAAAAUUUAGGGAUUUAGAUAGUGGGGAGUGGUUGGACGGUUUUAGGAGAAAUUUGAGGGAUUUGGGGAUAAUGGGGAUGAAUUUAUUUUAUUUUAUUUUUGUUUUUGUUAUUUUGUUGUUUUCAAAUUCCCAAAGUUCCUCCAUCAUUUUGUCGUUUCUUCUUCCCCAGCUUUGCUGAACCUCUGCCAAAGUUUCUUUUUCCUGCUCCAUUCUUUCCGAUUUUGGCCAUUGGUUUACCUUUUCUCUUUUCGUUUGCCGGAGUU
rnacentral:lncRNA from 1 species